rnacentral:rRNA from 1 species
CCUACGGGAGGCAGCAGUGAGGAAUAUUGGUCAAUGGACGAGAGUCUGAACCAGCCAAGUAGCGUGAAUGAUGACUGCCCUAUGGGUUGUAAACUUCUUUUAUAUGGGAAUAAAACGUUCCACGUGUGGGAUUUUGUAUGUACCAUAUGAAUAAGGAUCGGCUAACUCCGUGCCAGCAGCCGCGGUAAUACGGAGGAUCCGAGCGUUAUCCGGAUUUAUUGGGUUUAAAGGGAGCGUAGGUGGAUUGUUAAGUCAGUUGUGAAAGUUUGCGGCUCAACCGUAAAAUUGCAGUUGAAACUGGCAGUCUUGAGUACAGUAGAGGUGGGCGGAAUUCGUGGUGUAGCGGUGAAAUGCUUAGAUAUCACGAAGAACUCCGAUUGCGAAGGCAGUUCACUGGACUGCAACUGACACUGAGGCUCGAAAGUGUGGGUAUCAAACAGGAUUAGAUACCCCAGUAGUC